CUCAGGUGGGGGAUUAGAAGCUAAGGUUUCAGCAGGAGACUGAAGGCAAGGGUAUCCCUGGCUCAGCCCAGAGUUGCAGGGGGUGGGAGAGCCCUGCUCCCCUGGCUCAGCAGGGGCGGGCAGGACUCCCAAGCGCCUUCCACCUCUGCCCAGCCAGGGAUGUGUGGGAGCAUCCAGAGGCCAGGGUGCCAGGUCAUCCCCCAGCCGGGUGACACACAGGGAAAGGUGGUAUCACUGUUUUCAGGGGAGCCUACAAAGGGAGGAGCCAGGCCAGGCCUUUCGCAGCAGCAGCAGCUUGUGUCCCCCUGACAAACAUUUUCAAAGCCCAGACUCCGUGCAGACAUGGAGCAAAUAUUCUCUGACCCCUGAGAGGUGCCAAGCGUGUCAUUUCAACUCCCCUCUCCGCAGUUCCAGAGUCAGGUGGGCCCUGGGAGGUCGCUGUGCAGGAUGGGGUCCUCUCCUGCCACCCUGCCCAGACUGCCUGGGGCUCAGCUCCCACCUCUCCUCUAGGCCCUGCAGAGGCUCAACUUUGCAGACAAGCUUUCCUGUAAUUGUCCUUCUGUCAUCACAGCUCUUGACACAGAAACCAGCCAAGGGGCUGUGGAAAGGCAUAGGCAGAAAGGUGAGGUCGCCCUUCCAGGACCCUGUCUGUGGGCGAGACCAUGGGGCCACAGCCCAGUUAAGUCCAGAGACUCGCCAGAAAGAGAUUUGCCCUCCCCCAGCCUGCUCUGACUCACUCCUGCCCUUUGUCCCCAGCCUUCCAGGGAAGUCCCUCCUAAAGCUAACCUAAGUGCCUCCUGUGUAGCAUCAGCUCCUCUGGGGAUGGAACCCAGGGGACAGGCUCCGGUCUCAGGGGGCCUCAGGAACCAGGCUGCGGAGUGGGUAGGCACACCUGGGUGGAGAUGCUGCUGCUGCCUCCCUCCCCUUCCCUCCCUCGUUCUCCACCCAACACCCAGCCCUCCCCUCUCCUUAGCCCCCCACUCAAGCUCUUGGCUGGGAGCCAGCAUUGUUCCCUCCCGGCUCCCACUCCCCUCCUCCUUCCCUCCCUGCCAUCCAGAGGCAGCAGGCCCUGGGCAACGCCCCCCGCCCCCCCCUGCCCACCGGGUCCCUGCUUGCCCAGAGGGAGGGAGGUGGGAGCAGAACUUCGGUUCCAGGUUCUGAUUCCUCAUCAAGCUCCACCAACAGAGAAGGCUGGGAGCUUGGGUUACUUGGGGCCCCUGGUUAUUUUUAAUGCCACCAGCUUACAAGAUAAAUAUACCUCCCCUCCCCCAGCUGCCCCAAGGACUCCCUCCUUCCUCACCAUUCCCCCAGGCUCCUCAGACCCUAGGGGCCUUUCCUUCUUGUCACAUGCUGUCCUGCUGGGUCCCUUCUUGUCUCCCUGGAUUCCCAGCAGGGAGACAACUUGGCCCCCAAAUCCCAUGGAUGAGUUGGGGAGAUGUGCUGGCGCUACCCUGCACCUUCUUGAGAACUGGCACUCUGCAAAGGACUUCCAGGGGAGACUCCCCCUGGGAGGGGAGGCUGGGGCAGGCCUCCCAGAGCCCUGGGAGGAGGCGCUGGACAGGACGCACUCCUGCAGAAAUACUUCUACAUAUACACAUCUGUCCAGAUGGCACAUGGUUUUGCAGUGUUUUGAAGCCCCUUGCUUUUCCAGAAUGAGAACAGCAUGAUGCUCCUGAGGUUCAUGCACAUGGAUGUGAUUCCACAGUUCUAUCAAAUGAACACACCUCACAACCAGAAAACAUUUAAAACGUGACAACACCCCAACUAUUUGGAGCCCUGGGACCUCUUCAGCCCUGCUGAAGUUUAGCUUCUGCAGGGCCUAGACGAGAGGCUGGAGAUGAGCCCCAGGCAGUCCAGGGAGGGUGGCAGGAAAGGACCCCUCCUGCAGGGCUCUGAGGGUCCCCAGGGUGGCAUUGUUCCUGCAGUGGAGGUCGAAGAUGUGCAGUCCCUCCUCCCAGAUGGUGCCUAUGAGCUGGGAGGCCUGGGUGAGGGUGGCUGGGAGGCAGUGGAGGCAAGGACCCAAGUGCCCACCUCCUUCCCUCACUGCUCCACUUCACAGACAUACCCUGAUCUGUGGAGGACCAGGUGCUGGGAACUUGCAAGGGGCAGGCAGAGGUGAGCAAUCUGGUUCAGGGUGGGUACGUAUUACUGUCCCACCUUAAUGAGAAGCUGAGACUCAGAAUUUGGGUGUCUCUCCAGGACUCAAACCCGGGUCUGCCUCUAGAGCCAGUGCUCUCGACAGCCUUGUCCCCUCGCCUGCAGUGGCCUGGGCCCCCAACAGGCCUACUCUGUCAGUGGGGUGCUCGGGUGCAAACUCAGCCCUCAGUCAGGAGGGCAUCCAGGCACUGGCACCGAGUCCUGCGCCCAGGCCUGCGCCCAGGCCUGCGCCCAGGCCUGCGCCCUACCCCAGCUCCUGUCCACCCCCAGCAGCUCUCCUGGUUUUCUCUGCCAGCUUUUCCCAGAGCUGGGCGGACCAGUGGUAGCGGGAGACAGAGACUCCACUUUAAGCAGGGUAGAGGGGCUUGAGUUCCAUGUCAGUCACCUCCUGGUUCCAUGUGGUCUAUAGUAGCCCCCAAGUGAGAUGACAGGAGAAGCAUGAGGGAUGGCAGAGACUAGAGGUCCUUGUUCGUCCCCUCUGACUCAUCCUAUGAGCACCACCAUCCGCUU
rnacentral:lncRNA from 1 species